UCAUAUCACAUUUUAUCCUCAUAUCUCUUUCUCUAAAAAGGAAAAAGGAAAAAUCACAAAAUCAAAUCCAAUCUUUCUUCUAUCUCCACUAACCGAUCUAUCUCUGUAUCUAUCUAUCUACUGCAUAUAUCCAUCUACGACGGAGGCAAUGGUGAACAUAGUUUCGACAUCGCCAGUUGUAGUUGUGCUAUCGAUGACGAACAGGAUUUCAAUGUCCGGCCGAUGGUAGUUACGAUUUUUUAGAUCUACCUUCGAUCUAUAUAUUGUUGUGAUUGUGUUAUUUAAAUUGAUUGUAAAUUUGAGUAAUCUUUCUGAUUUAAUUUUGGUUGGUAAAAAAGACAAUAUUUUUGUUAUUGGUAAUUUUAGGUUAUGUAUAUGCUUCUUAUUUAUAUAUAUAUAUAAAACUUGGUAAUCCUAAAACAUCUCCAAAGACGUGUAUAUAUGUUUGAUGGUUAACAGGUACAUUAACAGGUCCUUAACAGGUGCACCUGUUAAAUUUCGUGUCGUAUUCGUGUUUGAAAAAAAUGACACGAUUAGUUAACAGGUCGUGUUCGUGUUUGACCUUAACAGGUCCAUGUCUUAACAGGUCGUGUCGGACCUGUUAUGCCAACCUUACCUUAAAGGCCGAGGAUAAGUUUUUUCGUGAUAAAUGCUGGAGGUUGAGCAUGGAGAUACAAUAGAAGACAGAAGGCAACUAUAUGAGUUGGAGAUAUGAAUGCAUUAUUAUGCCUUUACCUUACCACAUGUUUACAUGAAUGAGUCAGGAUGCCAUGUUUUGUAAAAGUUUUGAUUCUUUACCUCCGAUAUUUGUUACGACAAUUAUCAAUGAUGUAUAGGAAGACUAAUUUAUAUGUUUUGUGAUUUCAGAUUUAUAUUUUGUGAUU